rnacentral:lncRNA from 1 species
UAAGCCAAGUUGAUUACUCGAUUUAUAUGGAUUGAUUUUAUUUGGUUGAAAUGAGUUGAAAGGUAAUGAAAUUACAGUAUGAUGACUUAUUUUAAUUUUCUCCAUUUACUAAACUUUAGAUAGUUUAGAUGGUAUUUGUUUACUCACUGAGAUUUUAUAAUCUCACCACCCUCAUUUCCUCACAUUUCAGGCUUGGGGAAUUCCAUAGUUAGCUGACUUUGACAAGGACCUUCAUUUGGACUCGAAUCGGUAAAAGUUGUAGGUUUUCAACUUCCGAUGCAUUUUGGUUAGAUGUGGGCCCACGUGUCACUGUAAAAGAAAUUUUAUGCUUUGGUUAUUUGCUUUAUAGUAUAUAUGAAUAUAAUUAACUUUUACGCUAUAAGAAUUUUGUACCG